AUCAACAACAAAGUUGUAUAAUCCAUCUGUAUCUACAAUUUUUAUUUUGGUCAUUUCUUCAUCUGACAAAGUGAUAGUAACAUUGUUUACAAAUUUUACAUAUCUCUUAUACUGUUUUAUAAUCUAUAACAGAUAUAUGUAAAUUUUGUGAACAAUGUUACUAUUACUUUAUCGGAUGAAGAAAUGACCAAAAUAAAAGUUAUAGAUAUUAAUGAGUUAUACAACUUUAUUGUUGAU
rnacentral:pre_miRNA from 1 species